UCAGCCUCUAAAAAACGGACUUCCGUAAAAUUUUUGGAUAAAUCACCCGGUAUAGCUUCCAAUGCUAAAUAAUGUAAGAAAAUUAUUUAUUUACACAUGUUCAUUUAUUACCGUCAGCAAGUUGUAUAAGAAGAUCCAAGUCAUUUUCCUUUUUUGGUUUUGCCAUGGCUGACGACUUGUCGAUUAUAUACAGCUAUUCAUGAGGAUUCUUUCUAGUUUGACUUUUAUUACUUGCCCAAGGUUAGCAUUGCUUUUUGCUUCCUUUUGUUUACGUCUGUAAUAUAAGUGCAAUCGAACCAAAGAAUCUCGGUUUUCCACUUAUAAGGCUUGCUUCAAAGCUUUUUCAAAACUUUAUUUUAUAUAGCUGUUCUCCAAAACACACCUAGCUUCUUUUACUUGAGUAUGAACUAUUGUACCUAGUUGGUAGUGGUCGUUCAUGAAAUGCGUUAAACUAGGAAAAUAUCGUCCCGAAGAAAUACGGGAUCCUCAUGGGUCAGUGAUC